rnacentral:rRNA from 1 species
AGAGUUUGAUCAUGGCUCAGAUUGAACGCUGGCGGCAUGCCUUACACAUGCAAGUCGAACGGUAACAGGUCUUCGGAUGCUGACGAGUGGCGAACGGGUGAGUAAUACAUCGGAACGUGCCCGAUCGUGGGGGAUAACGAGGCGAAAGCUUUGCUAAUACCGCAUACGAUCUACGGAUGAAAGCGGGGGAUCUUCGGACCUCGCGCGGACGGAGCGGCCGAUGGCAGAUUAGGUAGUUGGUGGGAUAAAAGCUUACCAAGCCGACGAUCUGUAGCUGGUCUGAGAGGAUGAUCAGCCACACUGGGACUGAGACACGGCCCAGACUCCUACGGGAGGCAGCAGUGGGGAAUUUUGGACAAUGGGCGAAAGCCUGAUCCAGCCAUGCCGCGUGCAGGAUGAAGGCCUUCGGGUUGUAAACUGCUUUUGUACGGAACGAAAAGCCUCUUUCUAAUAAAGAGGGGUCAUGACGGUACCGUAAGAAUAAGCACCGGCUAACUACGUGCCAGCAGCCGCGGUAAUACGUAGGGUGCAAGCGUUAAUCGGAAUUACUGGGCGUAAAGCGUGCGCAGGCGGUUUUGUAAGACAGAGGUGAAAUCCCCGGGCUCAACCUGGGAACUGCCUUUGUGACUGCAAGGCUGGAGUGCGGCAGAGGGGGAUGGAAUUCCGCGUGUAGCAGUGAAAUGCGUAGAUAUGCGGAGGAACACCGAUGGCGAAGGCAAUCCCCUGGGCCUGCACUGACGCUCAUGCACGAAAGCGUGGGUAGCGAACAGGAUUAGAUACCCCGGUAGUCCAA